UGGGAGAUGAGGAUACUUUCCCCGAAUGAUCGACGCUGAUUCUAGACUACGCUACACAUGCCCUCUCCGGAGGCCAAGCCAGUAAAGCUGAUCCCA
rnacentral:snoRNA from 1 species